AAAAAGACAAACCCUGGUUUCCGUGCCCAACGUUUGACCGUCCGUCUUAUUUGAAAAAAUUAUGAAAAAAAAUUAAAAAGACAAGUCACGCACAAAGUAUUAAUCAUGUUUUAUCAUCUAACAACAAUAAAAAUACGAAUUAUAAAAAAAAUUUCAUAUAAGACGGACAGUCAAAGUUGGACACGGAAACCCAGGGUUUGUUUUUUU
rnacentral:pre_miRNA from 1 species